GAGUCACGUGACAGACACAUGACAUCAUGGUCGAUCAUGUGACAAGAUAUUACGGCGAUACGCGGUGUCGUUUUUGAGUAGCAGUAUGUUAAAAACGGGCAUCGCUAUACACGAUAUCAACGCCGGUACAAUUGUACGUAAUAAUAUGGCCAUGCGCUGUAGUCCACUUACAAGUACACAG